rnacentral:rRNA from 1 species
UGAGUAAUGCCUAGGAAUCUGCCUGGUAGUGGGGGAUAACGUCCGGAAACGGACGCUAAUACCGCAUACGUCCUACGGGAGAAAGCAGGGGACCUUCGGGCCUUGCGCUAUCAGAUGAGCCUAGGUCGGAUUAGCUAGUUGGUGGGGUAAUGGCUCACCAAGGCGACGAUCCGUAACUGGUCUGAGAGGAUGAUCAGUCACACUGGAACUGAGACACGGUCCAGACUCCUACGGGAGGCAGCAGUGGGGAAUAUUGGACAAUGGGCGAAAGCCUGAUCCAGCCAUGCCGCGUGUGUGAAGAAGGUCUUCGGAUUGUAAAGCACUUUAAGUUGGGAGGAAGGGCAGUAAAUUAAUACUUUGCUGUUUUGACGUUACCGACAGAAUAAGCACCGGCUAACUCUGUGCCAGCAGCCGCGGUAAUACAGAGGGUGCAAGCGUUAAUCGGAAUUACUGGGCGUAAAGCGCGCGUAGGUGGUUCGUUAAGUUGGAUGUGAAAUCCCCGGGCUCAACCUGGGAACUGCAUUCAAAACUGACGAGCUAGAGUAUGGUAGAGGGUGGUGGAAUUUCCUGUGUAGCGGUGAAAUGCGUAGAUAUAGGAAGGAACACCAGUGGCG